UAAUGAUGAGAGGGUGUUGUCGAGAUCCAGUCAUGCAACAGACCCUGAAGCUAAUGAUUGUAUACAACCUAUCGUUGAGAGAGUAUUGCAUGAACUCCACUUGUCUGCAAAGAUGUCCUUGGGGAAGUAUUUCACUAGUCUUUUGCAUGAAGAGGCGAUGGGAAAAGUUGAUUUGCUUAAAGACGGCAUGAUAAUCAAGGUUGCUGAGGACCCAAAUACUUUUAGUGGCGCUGCAUGUCAAAAUGAUUCUUCUGAGGCCAUUUUGGUGUCAGAAAACUUAGCACAUGUUGAUAUUCAGAAUACUUCCUCGUGCAAAAGUUCAUUGCACCAGAACUCUAUUGAUCCAUAUGUGAUUCGUGUGUCAGAUUGGUUUUCAAGUGCAUUUCAGAAGUCUGCCAGUUUAGACAGUGCCUCCAGUAAUGAAAUGACUGAUGAGCUGCAACCACCUGAAUGCGAAGCUGUUCCUGUACAAACUUCUAAAGUUCGACUUGCUAGGUCUGAUGAUUCUAUUUUGAGAAUAAUAUGGUAUGCGACCCUGUCAAAUUGCCGGCAGAGGGUACAUGAGAAAGCACUGAGGGAGUUGAAAAGUUUUCUUGUUGAUGAUAUAAUUAGAAACUUUUUGACAACUUCGUCUUCUGCAAGGAGAUGUAGUAAAUCAGAGGAUUCUCAGGUUACAAGAAGCAAAGCGGGUAAUGAGACACGUGAUAAAUCUCCAGUUGCAUUAAGCAAAAGUGGGGAUGGUUCUCCUAAGGUACCUACAGCAGUGGGGAAAUAUACAUACUACCGAAAGAAAAAGAUGGUUAAA
rnacentral:misc_RNA from 1 species